rnacentral:rRNA from 1 species
AACCCAAAGGACUUGACGGUGUCCUAUCCAACUAGAGGAGCCUGUUCUAUAAUCGAUAACCCCCGAUUCACCUAACCUUAUUUUGCCACUCAGUCUGUAUACCUCCGUCGUAAGCUUACCAUAUGAAUGUACAAAGGCCCCGCCAACACGUCAGGUCAAGGUGCAACUUAUAAUAGGGGAAGUAAUGGGCUACAAUUUCUAACAUAGAACACACGAAAUACUGUAUGAAACACAGUUAUGAAGGCGGAUUUAGCAGUAAAAAGAAAAUAAUGUGUUCUUUUUAACAAGGCCCUAGGACGUGUACACACCGCCCGUCACCCUCUUC